AGCACAUUGUUGACUCUCUUUAAACCCUCAGUAGUUCCUAAGGAACACGGUGAAGAGCAGCUCACAGCAGAUCAUCUUCAGCACCGACCAUGAUCUCUGUGUCUCUGCUGCUGCUGGCAGCUGCAUCCUGUGUUCACUGUAAUCUUCAACUCACACAGCCAGGAUCUAUGACAGUGAGACCAGGAGAGUCUCUGACCAUCUCCUGUAAAGUCUCUGGUUAUUCACUGACUGACAGCAGCUAUGCUACACACUGGAUCAGACAACCUGCGGGGAAAGAACUGGAAUGGGUUGGUGGUAUAUGGUAUAAUGGAAACACAGCUUACAUGGACUCACUAAAGAAUAAAUUCACCAUCUCCAGAGACACCUCCAGCAGCACAGUGUCCUUACAAGGGAGGAGCCUGCAGACUGAAGACACAGCUGUGUACUACUGUGCACGAGAGUCACAGUGA